AGGGGAAAGAGCAAUCGUGCAAAUAAUCGAUAAGACUAACAAUCGAUUUACUCAGUGGCCCUUGCUACCUUGACGUGCAUGAUGAAAACUUUUACAUUUUGUUAAUGUUUAAGUUGCUGUCUAACAAAUUCAUCAUGAGUUGCUCUGGUGGCAUGCUCUCAAAGUAGUCACUGCUUGCGGCAUAUUAACCAAAUAUGAAAAGAAAGCAGGAAAUACAGCCAAUAUAUAUCCAAACCAUAUUUGUACCGAAUUGCAUUUAAAGGUUUGUACAACCUCCACUGUUCAAAUAUGAGAAAGGAGUUCAAGGUUGGGAUAAGAAGAGCAAAUCGUAUAUAAAACAUGUAAAUGAUAUACUGGAUGUAGAUCCGUGUAUUGUUCUUCUUGCACUUGUAACACUGCCCAGAUUGCAAAAGAUGCGUAGUUGUACGCAUGACAGCUGUCAAGAGAGUGUGUAGAAAGCAGAGGGGAGAACAAAACCAA